rnacentral:rRNA from 1 species
AGAGUUUGAUUCUGGCUCAGGAUGAACGCUGGCGGCGUGCCUAACACAUGCAAGUCGAACGGGCCCGGCAUGAAACCUAGUGAAUGCCGGGCGAGUGGCGGACGGGUGAGUAACGCGUGGGCAACCUGCCCCGUACCGGGGGAUACCAGCUGGAAACAGCUGCUAAUACCGCAUAAGCGCACAUUCCCGCAUGGGGAAGUGUGAAAAACUCCGGUGGUACGGGAUGGGCCCGCGUCCGAUUAGCCAGUUGGCGGGGCAGCGGCCCACCAAAGCGACGAUCGGUAGCCGGCCUGAGAGGGCGGACGGCCACAUUGGGACUGAGACACGGCCCAAACUCCUGCGGGAGGCAGCAGUGGGGAAUAUUGCACAAUGGGGGGAACCCUGAUGCAGCGACGCCGCGUGGGUGAAGAAGUAUUUCGGUAUGUAAAGCCCUAUCGGCAGGGAAGAAGAUGACGGUACCUGACUAAAAAGCCCCGGCUAACUACGUGCCAGCAGCCGCGGUAAUACGUAGGGGGCAAGCGUUAUCCGGAUUUACUGGGUGU